GUGGGGAAUCUUAGACAAUGGGCGCAAGCCUGAUCUAGCCAUGCCGCGUGAGCGAUGAAGGCCUUAGGGUUGUAAAACUCUUUCGUGGGGGAAGAUAAUGACUGUACCCCAAGAAGAAGCCCCGGCUAACUCCGUGCCAGCAGCCGCGGUAAUACGGAGGGGGCUAGCGUUGUUCGGAAUUACUGGGCGUAAAGCGCACGUAGGCGGACUGGAAAGUCAGGGGUGAAAUCCCGGGGCUCAACCCCGGAACUGCCUUUGAAACUCCCAGUCUUGAGUUCGAGAGAGGUGAGUGGAAUUCCGAGUGUAGAGGUGAAAUUCGUAGAUAUUCGGAGGAACACCAGUGGCGAAGGCGGCUCACUGGCUCGAUACUGACGCUGAGGUGCGAAAGCGUGGGGAGCAAACAGGAUUAGAUACCCCGGUAGUCC
rnacentral:rRNA from 1 species